GAGAGGAGAGAGACUCCUCUAUCCGGCCGGGGAGACUCAGGGCCCGGGGAGCGGCGACAGCAGAUUGCCAUCGAGCUACAGAGUUUGUGAACGCCUGUGGACAUCAUGGCUGAAGGUGGUGACUGGGGAGGUGAUUCAGUGGCCUGUACAUCAAAGGGACAAAAAGAUAUAAACACAGCAAUCCCCAC